UACGUAGGGGGCAAGCGUUGUCCGGAAUCAUUGGGCGUAAAGCGCGUGUAGGCGGCCCGGUAAGUCCGCUGUGAAAGUCGGGGGCUCAACCCUCGAAUGCCGGUGGAUACUGUCGGGCUAGAGUGCGGGAGAGGCGAGUGGAAUUCCUGGUGUAGCGGUGAAAUGCGCAGAUAUCAGGAGGAACACCAAUUGCGAAGGCAGCUCGCUGGGACGUGACUGACGCU
rnacentral:rRNA from 1 species